AACGAACGCUGGCGGCAGGCUUAACACAUGCAAGUCGAACGAGCUGGGGGCUUUGGUCCCCGAUGCUAGUGGCGCACGGGUGAGUAACACGUGGGAAUAUGCUCUUUAGUACGGAAUAAUCAAGUGAAACUUUGGCUAAUACCGUAUACGCCCUUCUGCGGCAAGAUUUAUCGCUAAAGGAUUAGCCCGCGUCUGAUUAGGUAGUUGGUGAGGUAAUGGCUCACCAAGCCGACGAUCAGUAGCUGGUCUGAGAGGAUGAUCAGCCACGCUGGGGCUGAGACACAGCCCAGACUCCUACGGGACGCAGCAGUGGAGAAUAUUGGACGAUGGGGGCAACCCUGAUACAGCCAUGCCGCGUGAGUGAAGAAGGCCUUCGGAUUGUAAAGCUCUUUGGACGGAGACGAUGAUGACGGUACCCGGAUAAGAAGCCCCGGCAAACUUCGUG
rnacentral:rRNA from 1 species